rnacentral:rRNA from 1 species
GUGAACGCUGGCGGUAGGCCUAACACAUGCAAGUCGAACGGCAGCACAGUAAGAGCUUGCUCUUACGGGUGGCGAGUGGCGGACGGGUGAGGAAUACAUCGGAAUCUACUUUUUCGUGGGGGAUAACGUAGGGAAACUUACGCUAAUACCGCAUACGACCUACGGGUGAAAGCAGGGGAUCUUCGGACCUUGUGCGAUUGAAUGAGCCGAUGUCGGAUUAGCUAGUUGGCGGGGUAAAGGCCCACCAAGGCGACGAUCCGUAGCUGGUCUGAGAGGAUGAUCGGCCACACUGGAACUGAGACACGGUCCAGACUCCUACGGGAGGCAGCAGUAGGGAAUAUUGGACAAUGGGCGAAAGCCUGAUCCAGCCAUACCGCGUGGGUGAAGAAGGCCUUCGGGUUGUAAAGCACUUUUGUUGGGAAAGAAAAGCAGCAGGUUAAUACCCCGCUGUUCUGACGGUACCCAAAGAAUAAGCACCGGCUAACUUCGUG